rnacentral:rRNA from 1 species
AGAGUUUGAUCCUGGCUCAGGACUAACGCUGGCGGCGUGCCUAACACAUGCAAGUCGAACGAGUGUAGCAAUACACUAGUGGCAGACGGGUGAGUAACACGUAGUCAACCUACCUCUAAGUGGGGGAUAACUAGCCGAAAGGUUAGCUAAUACCGCAUACGAUCGUCGAGUGGCAUCAUUUGACGAUGAAAGGAGCAAUCCGCUGAGAGACGGGACUGCGUCCCAUUAGUUAGUUGGUGGGGUAAUGGCCUACCAAGACUUCGAUGGGUAGCUGGCUUGAGAGAGCGACCAGCCACACUGGAACUGAGACACGGUCCAGACUCCUACGGGAGGCAGCAGUGAGGAAUUUUCCGCAAUGGGGGAAACCCUGACGGAGCGACGCCGCGUGUGGGAAGAAGGCCUUCGGGUCGUAAACCACUGUCGAAGGGGACGAUAUUGACGGUACCCUUGGAGGAAGCCCCGGCUAACUACGUGCCAGCAGCCGCGGUAAGACGUAGGGGGCAAGCGUUGUCCGGAAUUAUUGGGCGUAAAGCGCUCGUAGGUGGAUUAGGUAAGUCUGCAAAGAAAUACCCGGGCUCAACUCGGGGAACGGUGUGGAUACUACUAAUCUUUGAGGCAAUCAGAGGAUGAUGGAAUUCCCGGUGUAAGCCGGUGAAAUGCGUAGAUAU